rnacentral:rRNA from 2 species
AAGUCGAACGAUGAAACUUAAAUGAUUUCUUCGGAAUGAACUUAAGUGGAUUAGUGGCGGACGGGUGAGUAACGCGUGAGUAACCUGCCUUACACAAGGGGAUAGCCGUUGGAAACGACGAAUAAUACCCUAUGAAACUAUCACUUCGCAUGAAGCGAUAGUCAAAGUGUUAGCGGUGUAAGAUGGACUUGCGUCUGAUUAGCUAGUUGGUGAGAAAAAAGCCCACCAAGGCAACGAUCAGUAGCCGGCUUGAGAGAGUGUACGGCCACAUUGGGACUGAGACACGGCCCAGACUCCUACGGGAGGCAGCAGUGGGGAAUUUUGCACAAUGGGGGAAACCCUGAUGCAGCGACGCCGCGUGAUUUAGAAGGCCUUCGGGUUGUAAAAAUCUUUUGUAUAGGAAGAAAAUGACAGUACUAUACGAAUAAGGUCCGGCUAAUUACGUGCCAGCAGCCGCGGUAAUACGUAAGGACCGAGCGUUGUCCGGAAUCAUUGGGCGUAAAGGGUACGUAGGCGGGUCAUUAAGUUAGAAGUCAAAGGCUAUAGCUCAACUAUAGUAAGCUUCUAAAACUGGCGACCUUGAGUAAUGGAAGGGAAAGUGGAAUUCCUAGUGUAGCGGUGGAAUGCGCAGAUAUUAGGAGGAAUACCGGUGGCGAAGGCGACUUUCUGGCCAUUAACU